rnacentral:rRNA from 1 species
UACGAAGGGUGCAAGCGUUACUCGGAAUUACUGGGCGUAAAGCGUGCGUAGGUGGUUUGUUAAGUCUGUUGUGAAAGCCCCGGGCUCAACCUGGGAAUGGCAAUGGAUACUGGCAAGCUAGAGUGCGGUAGAGGGUAGUGGAAUUCCCGGUGUAGCGGUGAAAUGCGUAGAGAUCGGGAGGAACACCGGUGGCGAAGGCGGUUCUCUGGGCCUUACCUGACGCUGAGGAGCGAAAGCGUGGGGAGCGAACAGG